GUCCUUACGUCAGCUGGACAUAUACUAAAAUUGAAACGAUACAGAGAAGAUUAGCAUGGCCCUGCGCAAGGAUGACCUCAUAGAACCUCGUGAAAACACACAACGUC